rnacentral:rRNA from 2 species
GCGGCAGACGGGUGAGUAACGCGUGGGAACGUACCUUUUGCUACGGAAUAACUCAGGGAAACUUGUGCUAAUACCGUAUGUGCCCUUCGGGGGAAAGAUUUAUCGGCAAAGGAUCGGCCCGCGUUGGAUUAGCUAGUUGGUGAGGUAAAGGCUCACCAAGGCGACGAUCCAUAGCUGGUCUGAGAGGAUGAUCAGCCACACUGGGACUGAGACACGGCCCAGACUCCUACGGGAGGCAGCAGUGGGGAAUAUUGCACAAUGGGCGCAAGCCUGAUGCAGCGACGCCGCGUGAGGGAUGACGGCCUUCGGGUUGUAAACCUCUUUCGCCAGGGACGAAGCGCGAGUGACGGUACCUGGAUAAGAAGCACCGGCUAACUACGUGCCAGCAGCCGCGGUAAUACGUAGGGUGCAAGCGUUAUCCGGAAUUAUUGGGCGUAAAGAGCUCGUAGGCGGUUUGUCGCGUCUGCUGUGAAAUCUGGGGGCUCAACCCCCAG